CUGGGUAGCCGCAGCCGGGGUGGCGCCUUCCCGCAGCUGCAAGCCGCCUCUGCGUUCACGCCUUCCUGCUGGGACCUGGCAGGGCGGGGGCCCACUGCAGAGACGGAGUCAGAGUUCUCUCCUUCACUCGUAAUAAGUUCCUUCAGUGCCAAAGAGGCUGUACCCUUCUUGAAGGCCCCUUCAUGGGUUCCCCAGCAGCCUGGCCUUGGUGCUGCCCUGCCUGGAGACCAGAUUACAGGAGCUCUUGGGAAAGCCCUGGCCCAGCAGCAGCCUACUUCCCCUGAAAUGAGAAGGAAUUAGGCCAAAUGCCCAAGAUCGCUGAUUGCUUAUUCCAUAGGAUGGUUACAAAACAAGAAACCCUUGACUGCCCAGGGGUCUGAGAUGUUAGUUGUAAUUUUUUAAAAGUUAAACAGAGGGUGAUAGGGAGAUGAGCCAGAAUUUCUGCCUGCCCCUUGUUCAGUGGAAACACAUCACAAAAAAACACAGGCACAUAACUGCUUAGGAGCCCCAGAUUAGAGAAGGCAUUACAAAGAAGAUGGGUUGAGUUUGACAAGUGGUCAGCCUUUGCUUUCUCAGUCUACAUUGCCUUCUGUCCAGAGGUCCCAGUGGGUAAUCUUCCAAGAUUGUUGUGACCCUGACCUUAAGGGCCUUGCUGGUGCCACACCCUUCCCAUCUAUUCCAUUCUGAGGCCUCAGACGCAGAAGCAGGAUUUGGCAGCCCAUCCAUAUAGCCCUAUUCCUCACCAUAGCCACAUGACUUUCUGAUAACCUGGAGAUUCAACAACGGAGAAGGGCUCUGCUCUGGACAGGCUUCUCUGGUCUAAGUGCUGUGCCUUUAUUCAGAGUUCUGGAGAUGACCUGGUCAGCCUCUAUCUUCCCAGUCCUGCUGUAGAGUUGUCGGCCACAGGAAUCGAGACACUGUGGUUUCCUGGGAAUCCUGAGAGUGCCCAUCACUCACACAGGCUCUGCCACUCUAACCUCAAACUGUUGUACUACCAUCGGAAUGCCUGUGCCGUUCUUUUCUGAGGCUGCAGCUCACACCAGGCUUCUGAAUGAGAAUCCCUGCUGGUUAAGACUUUUGGUUCUGCUUGUUUCCUUGGAGAUGUUUUCCAAGAGCAUAAUGUACAUUAAAGUCUGAGUUGAGACCAAAUCCUCUUGUUUGAGUCUCUCUUACAUUAGUCUGCCCAGUUCCCAGUGCAGCCAGGCCGCCGUCUGCAGACAUACGUCCCUGCCUAGCAUCCAGAGACCCUGCCCAAUGUCUGCAGCCACGGGAGGAGGCAAGCAACCUGCAUCGCUUCCUCUUACCAGUGGGGCUUCUGAGAUAAGCGCACCUAAAAGAAAGAUUUAGGCCCCCAUGUCUUUAUAGCCAGAAGUUUCGCUUUGUGUGAACUUGCUAUUCUUUUCUUCCCCACAGUCUACUCAUCAGAACUACCUGGAGAGCUAAUUAAAAGGGCAGAUUCCAAAGGAAUGAAGCCCUGAUCCGUGCCACAGCAUGGAUGAGCCUGGAAAACACUGCUGCAUGGAAGAAGCUAGACACAAAGACCACAUGUUAUAUGAGUCUAUUCUUAAGAAUUGUCCAGAAUAGACAAAUCCAUGGAUAAGGCGACCAGCAGUUGCCAGGAAAUGGGAGAGGGAAUGGGGAGUGACCGCUGACGAGCACAGGGUUUCUUUGGGGGAUGAUGAAAGUGUUCUGGGAUUAGUGGUGGGUACAACGUGAAUAUACUAAAAACUACCAAAUGUGUAUACUGUAAAUCGGUGAAUUUUAUGGUAUGUAAAUUAUCUUAAUUUUUAAAAGUACAGAUUCCCACGUCCCCACCCUGCAGGGAUUCAGAAGCAGUGAAUCUGGAGGUGGCCGAAGUUCUGAGGCACAUGCAGUUCUGAGGAACUAUCUGGAAGUAACAGCGUUGCGGUUCAGUACCUAGAGCUCCACUGGGACAGAAUUUGCCUCCCACUGGCAUUGUCAGGACAGGGCAGCGCCUGGAAGUUGGAUCCUGUGACCUUGAUCUCCAAGCUUGUUGGUUUUAUGUUCACACAGACGCCCCCAAACCCACACACUAUCUAAGCAAGAGUUAAGAAAAAGUAGCCACUAUUUACUCAGGGCUCUGUUCUGUUCCUUCACUUCACCCUCACAACGAUAUGUGGGAAGUACUGUUAUUAUCCCCAUUGAAUUGAUAUGAAAAUGGGCUCAAAGAGCUUCAAUCAUUUUCCUGGUGUUCCACAGCUAGUAAGGAUUGAGGAUAAGAAUUAAGCCAAAUCCCAUUGGUGUCCAUAGCCCAUGUUUAGCCCCUGCAUUCAGUCGCAGUUUGUUCCUGCCCUGCCCUUGCAUGUCUGGGACAGUCUUCCCUGCUUCCUCAGGUCUGGCCUUGACCUUGUUGACAGCCAGCUGUGUGAUCCUGGGCAAGCCACUUACAUUCUCUGGGCCUCAGUUGGCUUAACCUAUAAGAGAGUUUGCUUGGAUAUAGGUUUUCUCAUAUAGAUUGUCCAGGUUCCCUCAGGUAUUAGAAGUGGACCUUUAUAUAAUUUUAAAUGUUUUCAAAAGGAAACUACAUUUAUACAGGAUAAUAUAUCUGGGCUGACUAAAAGCCAGUAGGUCUCUUGUUUGGGGAUGGAGUAACAAACCCUGUCUUCUCCUGCUUAUCCCAGCUGGCACUCCUCUGUGUGUCUUUGCUGAGUAAAAAGAAAAUGUGAAAGCAAAUUAAUUAUUACUUUAUUUUGAAGGCAGAAACCUUCCAAACUGGGAACUACUGGCGUUGCUGAUCUCUGAGCUCCCUUCGAGUUCUAACACAUCUAAAAGCAAAGCUAUUGGCAGGACCUGGCCUGAUUUUAAAAUCCCUCAAAUGCAGGUCUCCUGGGGUCUGGCUCUUAUUUGCAAGGCUGCUUUAUCCUAUUAACAGAAUCCGCAGAGGUAGUGACUUUCCAACCCCUUCUGCUGUCCCUGUGACAAACCCUUGCUGCUCUGAGCUCCAUUCUGUCUUAAUUUCUCACCACUUGAGCAGUGGAGGAGUUCCCCACCUCUGAUUGCCUCUUACCAUCAGUAAUUAUUUUCCCGACGUCAUCCCCUUGUAAAUAUUAUUUAAUAUGCCCAGGGCACUGUGACACGUUGGUUUCUCCACCGAAUCAGACUUUGGCUUGACUAAGAUGCUGUCCCCUGCUGAAAUGGGGGCUGGAAAUACAGAGUGAAUGCCGUGGGCAAAGCCCCCACUGAGUCACUUCUGCCAGAUUGAAAGCAGAACAGAGUGGGGAAGCUCACCUGAGCCACCCGCUAAUCAUGGGGGCCGUGUGUCUUGUGAUUCCAAAGAACCGCUCACUCUUCUCUUCAGUGCCCUGCUGACCAUGGCACUUCCUCACGUAGUGUUCACCGCAUCUGGCCCAGGCAGGGUUUAUUUUCAUUAGACCCUUCUAAACCUUUCUAUCUCUGGAGUGUCAAGGUCAGCGAUGCUGGCUCACUCUCCCCCAGCCCUGCGCUCCCUGCUGAGAUGGGGGUGGGGAGUGGGAUGAGAGCCAGAAAUACUGUCAGCUGCUUCCUGCUGGUGGGGAGGGGUGUAUCCAGCGCCUCCCCUCACCUGCCAGGCCUUCUGUCCUGUGCCCUCAAUCUGGUGCUCACCUGGGUAGACUCACUGAAUUUCUCUGGAAAACAGGGACCUGAUGGUUGUCAGGCUGUCAGUUAAAGUGCUUGAGGGGAGGAAGGUAGGACAAGCAGGGGGCUUCUCAGUCCAAUGGCAGGCGGCCUGCAUGAAAGAACCCCACAGACCUCUCUUCCUUGGAUUUUUGUCUGGCUUCCUCCCUCCCCAGAUGUCUUCGUUUUCCUUCUGUCCACAUCCAGACGUUUUUACCUGGCUUGAGUUUACAUUCUACACUUCUAAGAGGAUGCCAACAGAUGGAGUUAAGUCUUGAGGAGAAGGAGCUGUCAUGUGAGAAGCAGUUGGAGAAAAACGUGAUACUGUCACCAAAGAGCAGAAAGGCCAGGAGAGCUGUCUUGAAGGAGGGGGUCUCCAUCCUUCAGAGUGCAGAGUUGGGACCCGUGGGAGAAGUUACAGAGCGGCAGAGGAUCACAAGCUGCUGUGUUGGACAAAGGCUGCAAGGAGAUGGGUGGAAGCAAGGAGACCAGUAAGGAGGCUGGUACAAUGAUCCAGGAGCUAACCACAGUACCUCACCCCAUCUUUCCACUGACUUGGAUGAACCCACAACUUCAGCCAGGCCACUUGGCAUCUUCCCUGGGGUGCCUUCUGAGAUACUACCUGCUUUUGGAGUUAUGGUGGUAGAAGACUGUCAUCAUAUCCGUCUGAAAAAAAAAGCCCAGAAAUGAGGAUCAGGCCAACACAGAAGGAAGCAGAGCUGAGAGAUGAGAGUGAAGGAGAACCAUCAACAUUGGCAGAACACCUGGAUCCAGCCCUACCUGCAGCCCCAAACCCCCAGGCUUCCUCCUACAUGAGCCACUACACUACCGUUUUUAUUUUUUAAAUUUCAUUUUUUUGUGGUAAGAACAUUUGACAUGAGAACUAUCCUCUUACAUUUUUAAGUAUACAAUAAAGUCCUGUUGACUAUA